rnacentral:rRNA from 1 species
UGGGGAAUAUUGGACAAUGGGCGCAAGCCUGAUCCAGCCAUGCCGCGUGUGUGAAGAAGGCCUUUUGGUUGUAAAGCACUUUAAGCGAGGAGGAGACUACUUGGAUUAAUACUCUAGGAUAGUGGACGUUACUCGCAGAAUAAGCACCGGCUAACUCUGUGCCAGCAGCCGCGGUAAUACAGAGGGUGCGAGCGUUAAUCGGAUUUACUGGGCGUAAAGCGUGCGUAGGCGGCUUCUUAAGUCGGAUGUGAAAUCCCUGAGCUUAACUUAGGAAUUGCAUUCGAUACUGGGAAGCUAGAGUAUGGGAGAGGAUGGUAGAAUUCCAGGUGUAGCGGUGAAAUGCGUAGAGAUCUGGAGGAAUACCGAUGGCGAAGGCAGCCAUCUGGCCUAAUACUGACGCUGAGGUACGAAAGCAUGGGGAGCAAACAGG